rnacentral:rRNA from 1 species
UACGAAGGGAGCAAGCGUUAUUCGGAAUCACUGGGCGUAAAGAGCGUGUAGGCGGUUGAUUAAGUCAGUUGUUAAAUUCCCCAGCCUAACUGGGGCACAGCGAUUGAAACUGAUCGGCUAGAGUAUAGAAGAGAGAAGUGGAAUUAUCGGAGUAGCGGUAAAAUGCGUAGAUCUCGAUAGGAACACCGAUGGCGAAGGCAGCUUCUUGGUCUAUUACUGACGCUAAAAUGCGAAAGCGUGGGGAGCAAACAGG